GACGAACGCUGGCGGCGUGCCUAAUACAUGCAAGUAGAACGCUGAAGAGAGGAGCUUGCUCUUCUUGGAUGAGUUGCGAACGGGUGAGUAACGCGUAGGUAACCUGCCUGGUAGCGGGGGAUAACUAUUGGAAACGAUAGCUAAUACCGCAUAACAACAGUUGUUGCAUGACAGCUGUUUAAAAGAUGCAAUUGCAUCACUACCAGAUGGACCUGCGUUGUAUUAGCUAGUUGGUGAGGUAACGGCUCACCAAGGCGACGAUACAUAGCCGACCUGAGAGGGUGAUCGGCCACACUGGGACUGAGACACGGCCCAGACUCCUACGGGAGGCAGCAGUAGGGAAUCUUCGGCAAUGGGGGGAACCCUGACCGAGCAACGCCGCGUGAGUGAAGAAGGUUUUCGGAUCGUAAAGCUCUGUUGUAAGAGAAGAACGGGUGUGAGAGUGGAAAGUUCACACUGUGACGGUAUCUUACCAGAAAGAGACGGCUAACUACGUG
rnacentral:rRNA from 1 species